GCGCUCAUAGCUCAGCGGAUAGAGCAACUGCCUUCUAAGCAGUGGGUCGGAGGUUCGAGUCCUCCUGGGCGCG
rnacentral:tRNA from 1 species